UUGAACACUUUUUGUGCAAAUGCAUGACGAAACUAGUGCAAAGUUCGCUCAAGCAUAAAAAAAAUUGCUCUACUUGCGCUUGGUCAGUUUACUUACUACAAGUAAUGAGUACUAUGUAGUCCGGCUAAUUUCCCAGUCAUGGGAGA
rnacentral:sRNA from 1 species